UAAGAUUAGGAAGAAACAGACAUACAUUAUAAAUCCCAAAAUAUUUAGUGUUCUUCUAUUUUGCUGUUGAGGCAAAAUGAGUGGUUCUCAAAAAGGGUCAAAAGAGCUUUGCGAUCUUACGAAGAAGGAUGAGCCCUAUGGGAACCCUUCUCAUGCUCCAAGCCAAAAGAGCGAGGAAGAAAACCUUGCAGAACUUACUCGUCGUGCCAGCCAUCAUGAAAUCAAAAAACCUUCAAAGCCAGGGAAGAACAAGAAACAUGAUCUUUGCGACGGUGCGGGGCCCCGCCGAAAUUGAGUAAUUACAACUCAUUCAUAUGCUAGGUUUAAGCUGGUGGGAGACUCUAAUGCUGGAAGAAAUAUCAAGCUCUGUGAAGUCUUUUAUUUUAUUUACUUUUUUUUAAUAUCUGUUAUUCAAAUAAAUGUAAGUUGUUGUGUCAGGGUUUAUUAAGUAGCUUGGUUGGGGGAAAGUAUAAAGUAGUCUAAAACUGUCAACCAUUCUUGUUUAACGUUUAUCCAUAUUGCCAUCGUUCCUUGUAUGAAUAAAACAAAUCAUUUGAUCAAAAUAAUAUAUGAUAUAGUCUUUA